UACGUAGGGUGCGAGCGUUGUCCGGAAUCACUGGGCGUAAAGGGCGCGUAGGCGGCUCAUGAAGGCUGUGGUGAAAGUCCGGGGCUCAACCUCGGAUCGGCCGUGGCGACUCGUGGGCUGGAGCACUGUAGAGGCAGGUGGAAUUCCGGGUGUAGCGGUGGAAUGCGUAGAGAUCCGGAAGAACACCGGUGGCGAAGGCGGCCUGCUGGGCAGU
rnacentral:rRNA from 1 species